AAGACAAGAUGAUCUUAAAAAUAAGAUCGUCCCAUUCUUCAGAAAAUAUCCGUUACAAUCAUCUAAACGCGACCAAUUUGAAACAUUUUGCGAACGUUUAAAGGUCUAGAAUCCUCAGAGACUAUACGUCAGGAUCCCGCGUUAAGCGGGAUAAGAUAUAGUCCAAACUUCAUAUAUUUUGAAG
rnacentral:autocatalytically_spliced_intron from 1 species